GGCACCGCUACCAUGCAAGUCGAACGGUGAAGCCCAGCUUGCUGGGUGGAUCAGUGGCGAACGGGUGAGUAACACGUGAGCAACCUGCCCUCCACUUCGGGAUAAGCCUUGGAAACGGGGUCUAAUACCGGAUAUGAGCAUCCAUCGCAUGGUGGGUGUUGGAAAGUUUUUCGGUGGGGGAUGGGCUCGCGGCCUAUCAGCUUGUUGGUGGGGUGAUGGCCUACCAAGGCGUCGACGGGUAGCCGGCCUGAGAGGGCGACCGGCCACACUGGGACUGAGACACGGCCCAGACUCCUACGGGAGGCAGCAGUGGGGAAUAUUGCACAAUGGGCGCAAGCCUGAUGCAGCGACGCCGCGUGAGGGAUGACGGCCUUCGGGUUGUAAACCUCUUUCAGCAGGGAAGAAGCGCAAGUGACGGUACCUGCAGAAGAAGCGCCGGCUAACUACGUGCCAGCAGCCGCGGUAAUACGUAGGGCGCAAGCGUUGUCCGGAAUUAUUGGGCGUAAAGAGCUCGUAGGCGGUCUGUCGCGUCUGGUGUGAAAUCCCGAGGCUCAACCUCGGGCUUGCAUCGGGUACGGGCAGACUAGAGUGCGGUAGGGGAGACUGGAAUUCCUGGUGUAGCGGUGGAAUGCGCAGAUAUCAGGAGGAACACCGAUGGCGAAGGCAGGUCUCUGGGCCGCAACUGACGCUGAGGAGCGAAAGCAUGGGGAGCGAACAGGAUUAGAUACCCUGGUAGUCCAUGCCGUAAACGUUGGGCACUAGGUGUGGGGCUCAUUCCACGAGUUCCGUGCCGCAGCUAACGCAUUAAGUGCCCCGCCUGGGGAGUACGGCCGCAAGGCUAAAACUCAAAGGAAUUGACGGGGGCCCGCACAAGCGGGGGAGCAUGCGGAUUAAUUCGAUGCAACGCGAAAAACCUUACCCAGGCUUGACAUGCACCGGGAAACACUCAGAAAUGGGUGCCCCGUAAGGUCGG
rnacentral:rRNA from 1 species